UUCUUCAGAAUUUUCAACAAAGCUUCCCUAUGCCCCUCAGAGCUCAACAGCAAUGAUAGAAUCGAGAUUUUGGAAGGGGUCUGCUGCAGAUGGUCCACCAAUUUGUACUCGGACUUCUUGAUGAUUCUCAGAAAUUCUUCAGCAUCAUCAUCAAGUUUGUUUUCCGACCCCGCAGGCGCCGGUGUCACCACAGGAGUACUAUUAUCAACCACAGCCUUCCCUUUCGCCCUGGCUAAAGCCUCGGCCUUUUCUUUUUUCUCUUUUUC
rnacentral:lncRNA from 1 species